rnacentral:rRNA from 1 species
UACGUAGGUGGCAAGCGUUGUCCGGAUUUACUGGGCGUAAAGAGCGCGCAGGCGGUCGUUCAAGUCGAGUGUGAAAGCCCCCGGCUCAACUGGGGAGGGUCACUCGAUACUGAUCGACUCGAAGGCAGAAGAGGGAAGCGGAAUUCCAAGUGUAGCGGUGAAAUGCGUAGAGAUUUGGAGGAACACCAGUGGCGAAGGCGACUUUCUGGUCUGUAACUGACACUGAGGCGCGAAAGCGUGGGGAGCGAACAGG